rnacentral:rRNA from 1 species
CGCUGGCGGCGUGCCUAAUACAUGCAAGUCGAACGCUUCUUUCCUCCCGAGUGCUUGCACUCAAUUGGAAAGAGGAGUGGCGGACGGGUGAGUAACACGUGGGUAACCUACCCAUCAGAGGGGGAUAACACUUGGAAACAGGUGCUAAUACCGCAUAACAGUUUAUGCCGCAUGGCAUAAGAGUGAAAGGCGCUUUCGGGUGUCGCUGAUGGAUGGACCCGCGGUGCAUUAGCUAGUUGGUGAGGUAACGGCUCACCAAGGCCACGAUGCAUAGCCGACCUGAGAGGGUGAUCGGCCACACUGGGACUGAGACACGGCCCAGACUCCUACGGGAGGCAGCAGUAGGGAAUCUUCGGCAAUGGACGAAAGUCUGACCGAGCAACGCCGCGUGAGUGAAGAAGGUUUUCGGAUCGUAAAACUCUGUUGUUAGAGAAGAACAAGGACGUUAGUAACUGAACGUCCCCUGACGGUAUCUAACCAGAAAGCCACGGCUAACUACGUGCCAGCAGCCGCGGUAAUACGUAGGUGGCAAGCGUUGUCCGGAUUUAUUGGGCGUAAAGCGAGCGCAGGCGGUUUCUUAAGUCUGAUGUGAAAGCCCCCGGCUCAACCGGGGAGGGUCAUUGGAAACUGGGAGACUUGAGUGCAGAAGAGGAGAGUGGAAUUCCAUGUGUAGCGGUGAAAUGCGUAGAUAUAUGGAGGAACACCAGUGGCGAAGGCGGCUCUCUGGUCUGUAACUGACGCUGAGGCUCGAAAGCCGUGGGGAGCAAACAGGAUUAGAUACCCUGGUAGUCCACGCCGUAAACGAUGAGUGCUAAGUGUUGGAGGGUAUCCGCCCUUCAGUGCUGCAGCAAACGCAUUAAGCACUCCGCCUGGGGAGUACGACCGCAAGGUUGAAACUCAAAGGAAUUGACGGGGGCCCGCACAAGCGGUGGAGCAUGUGGUUUAAUUCGAAGCAACGCGAAGAACCUUACCAGGUCUUGACAUCCUUUGACCACUCUAGAGAUAGAGCUUUCCCUUCGGGGACAAAGUGACAGGUGGUGCAUGGUUGUCGUCAGCUCGUGUCGUGAGAUGUUGGGUUAAGUCCCGCAACGAGCGCAACCCUUAUUGUUAGUUGCCAUCAUUUAGUUGGGCACUCUAGCGAGACUGCCGGUGACAAACCGGAGGAAGGUGGGGAUGACGUCAAAUCAUCAUGCCCCUUAUGGCCUGGGCUACACACGUGCUACAAUGGGAAGUACAACGAGUCGCUAGACCGCGAGGUCAUGCAAAUCUCUUAAAGCUUCUCUCAGUUCGGAUUGCAGGCUGCAACUCGCCUGCAUGAAGCCGGAAUCGCUAGUAAUCGCGGAUCAGCACGCCGCGGUGAAUACGUUCCCGGGCCUUGUACACACCGCCCGUCACACCACGAGAGUUUGUAACACCCGAAGUCGGUGAGGUAACCUUUUUGGAGCCAGCCGCUUAAGGUGGGAUAGAUGAUUGGGGUGAA